UGAACUUGUGGAAGUUCAAGGUACAAGUAAAUGUGUGUGGGUUAUGUAAAUUGUGAGAGAAAUAAAUAAAUAAAUAAAACUAUCUUAUAAAUUUUCUAACACAUGCAUUGGUGCUCUUCUAUAUUGCACGCAAUGUUACAUUGUGCUCUUCUAAAUACAAUUCAAAUUUGCUGUUUAAAGACUAUUAAAUGAUGAAGUUUUCUUCUGUAAUGAUAGGCUUGCACCCACAUUUAUCAAACCAACCACUUUGGUCCAUUGAUUCAAAGAAUCAAAUCUGAAUGCUUCAAAUUUCAACAUAUUAGUCACGAGAAAGGUGUUGUGAAAAUUCUGAAAAUUUUAUGUAUUGAAAAGAAUAAUUACAAUAAUAAUAUGUCAGUUAAUUAAAUGUUAUUAAAUAGAUAAAAUCAAUACAAUCAUUUUAAUUACAUUUCAAAACAUGCUGAUUUUUAUGUCUAUAUAUAUAUAUAUAUACAUAUAUC
rnacentral:lncRNA from 1 species